ACUCUGAUUGGUGAAACACUCAUUGGUGGUCACUCAUUCUUACUCAAUUGCAAAGUGAGCUAUAAGUAAAACACUACAAAGAGUUCCAAAACUGGCCGUCAUUUACAUCAUCAACAUCUUCAUGUUUACUAAAUUUUUAGAGCUCUCAAUUUUAGGUUGAAUCCUUAAUAAAUUAGCAUGCUUUUUAGCUAAGUUGUGCAUACAUACCUCAUAUUCUGUAUAUUUAUAUUUUCGAAUUAGUUAAUUUUAAUUCUUUAAUCUAUUAAAACUUUUUUUUGUUAUGUCUAUAGUCUGUUCUAUAAACUUUGAUACAGGCCAACAUUUUUGAGCAAUUCUUCACUGUUCAAAAACUAUUAUUUACAUAACAUGAAUUUACAGAGUCUUUUUCAAGACUUUAAUCCUAGUAAGUUUCUUGUUUAUGUGUGUUUGCUACUUUUUACAAUUCUAUUUUGUUUACGCCUGGAUGGAAAUAUCACAUGGACUUAUUGGGUUAUAUUCACCCCUUUAUGGAUUUGGAAAGCUAUGGUCAUUUUAGGAGCUUGUGUUGGUAGUUAUGUUUGGUGGCGGCAUCCUCAAUACAGAGUUGAAGGAGAAGGUUACAUCCACUACAAAGCUAUGCUAAUUAGUGUAGUUUUACAAGUUUUACUGUUGAUGUUUGAAGUUUUAGUAUGUGACAAACUGGAAAAUAAUCGUCAUUGGUGGAUUUUAGUGUUUGUUCCUUUGAUUUUUAUUUCAAUAAUAUCUGUUGUGGUCUGCAUUUGGGCUGUCAAGCAUGAUCGUAAUUUUGAGUUGGAGCUGUUUUGCUCUGUAAAUAUAUUGCAGUUUAUUUUCCUUGCCUUGAGAUUGGAUGAAAUUAUCAUGUGGAAUUGGGUGGUUGUUUUUGUACCACUUUGGCUUGUUAUGUGUAUGGCUGUUAUAGGUGUGUUAUACGCUAUAAUUUUUGCCAGUAUCUUGCUUAGAACACCUGAAGUGAGUGUUGAACAACGCCGUACAAGCAUGCAUUCAGCCAUAUCUUACAGCAUAAUUGUGAUUCCACUUUUAAUUUAUUUGGUUUUAUUAUCUAACAAACUAGAUAGUGAAACUAAUAUGACUUAUGCUGGUGCUAGUAUACCUCUGUAUUUCACUUUCAUUGUUUUGAUUUUUCUAACUUUUGGGUCAAAAGGUGGAAAUCAUUGGUGGUUUGGAAUAAGGAAAGACUUUUGCCAAUUUUUAUUAGGGAUUUGUCCUCUUUUGCAAGAAUAUGGCAACAUAUCUUACAGUUUACAUAGUAAUGAACCUGAAGAACCAGUUGCUCAGCCAGUACCAUGUGCCAAAAAAAGUCUUUCGUCUCAGUCAGAACUGAGAGUUGUAGUACCUGCACUUUGCAUUGAAACACCUGAUUAAUUUUUUGACAUGGCAUUCUUCAUUUGUUAAUCUAAGUUCUAGGUACAGAAGUUACUUUUCAAGACUGGCACAACAAAUAAAUGGUCUAUAAUCUUUCUGAGCUUUCCAUAUUUUUCCAUACUCCAGAAAAUAUACAGCGUAAAAAACAAACAAUUGCAAAGUGUGUUUAGAUGUAUUUAGAUUCACAAAUGUUUCACAUUAAACUCUUGUGGUUUUCAUCAAAAGGGCAAUGUCUUCCUUAUAAUCACUCAAAUCCAUUUUAAUGGUAGAAUUCGUUAUCACUUUGGACAGCCAGUUGACUCAAAGUUUCGGCAUCUUUGCACCUAGCUAUAUUGCAGGACUGUCAACACACAGAAGAUGAGAGCAGACUGGGUCGCCAGGUUGAUCUGACAGUUGAUCUAUUAGAACAAGCAAACACUGCUGGGGUGUAUUGUUGACCCCUCUUUAUACAAUACCUUACUCUUCAAAUAUGUGUAUGUCUAGUUCCCCACAUUAACCUAACAUAAGAUCUAUUCACAAAUAAAAAUACCCACUGGUAUACUAUAUUGAUAUAUGUGACUUCAGAAGAUUACUGGUUAGAUUAUGUUUCACAACCUGUUGACACCAGCUUGGUACUUGGGGAAAGUCAAUACCACUAAGUUGAUGUUGAAAACUAGAGUAGCAUAGAGCAAUUUUUAGGAUGCAAAUAAUUCAAUCUCCAUUGUAGUGUCAAAAGGCUUCAGUAUUUAUACUGCUGGAGGUGAUUUGUAUAAUCAAUGUUUGUCUUACCUCCCUCCACAGGAGACAACAAUCACAGCAUUAUCAGGCUUACUUGCAGUGAUACUUAAAAGAUAAAGUUGCAUCUUCUAGGGCUGAAUGCAAAAUUGCCUCAAUACUCCAUCAGUCAAAGCCUGAGUAAACUACUUGUUGCAUCACAAAGUUGCCCACUAUGAUUGGCCAGAAAUUGCCCUGUAUGAAAACCUCGUGUAUGCCCAGAUAAAUAAUAUGAUGUUGGCACCCUCUUAUCUUUCGAAAUUGUUAAUCAGUCUGCAAUGUUUUCUACUAUAUAUUGCAAAAUGUUCUUCAAAUAUUUAAUUAAAAAGUUAUAUUUUUAAGUAUAAAACAGGAUUUGAAUUAUGAAUCAUACAAAAAUAUGUCUGUAUGUUGAACAUAAUCAAUAAACAUCCUUGUAAAAGUUACAAAUUGAUUUUGUAAUACAAGUUGAUGAAAAAGUGAUAUUUUCAUAUUUAAGUUCCCUUAAAUGUUCUCCUUUUUUAAAAUUUGUGUGAAAAUGUAUGUUCCUAUACUUCAUUCUGCUGUACAUAAAAUUUGAAUGAUUUU